rnacentral:rRNA from 1 species
CAGCAGCCGCGGGAAUACGUAGGUGGCGAGCGUUGUCCGGAUUUAUUGGGCGUAAAGGGAGUGUAGGCGGUCUUUUAAGUCUGAUGUGAAGGCCCACGGCUCAACCGUGGAGGGUCAUUGGAAACUGGGAGACUUGAGUGCAGAAGAGGAGAGCGGAACUCCAUGUGUAGCGGUGAAAUGCGUAGAUAUAUGGAGGAACACCAGUGGCGAAGGCGGCUCUCUGGUCUGUAACUGACGCUGAGGCUCGAAAGCGUGGGGAGCAAACAGGAUUAGAUACCCCCGUAGUCCCUGUCUCUUAUAC